rnacentral:lncRNA from 1 species
GUGCCGUGACAAGGGAUCGUGCCAGAUAUUUACCAGCACGGUACGGCAUAGUGCGUGUCGAGCUGUGUCGAUACAUGUCGGUCAAAAAAAUUCUUGCGUACCGACACAUAAUAGUAUGAAAUAUUUAUUUUAUUUAACAACAAAAUAUUUUAACUAUUUAUUAUAUUUUUGUAUUACAUCUUUUAAACUUUAUUGAGAAAAUUAAUUAUUAAUUUAAAAAAUAUAGAGUUUUGAGCUGUGCUAUCGGCACGGAAUAUAUAUCGUACCGGUAUUUUAUUAGGACGCUACGACACGAUGGAUACGAUUCGUACCGACGGACAUUUAGAAUAAUAUGCCAUUUAUUUAUGUAAAUUUUUUUUGACUG